rnacentral:rRNA from 1 species
CCGCCGGCGACCGGCGCACGGGUGAGUAACACGUAUGCAACCUGGCCGUGACAGGAUGGAUAACCGGGAGAAAUCCCGCCUAAUACAACAUAANGCCGGGAGGGGACAUCCCCUGCCGGCCAAAGGGGGCGACCCCGGUCACGGAUGGGCAUGCGGCGCAUUAGGUAGUUGGUGGGGGCAACGGCCCACCAAGCCGACGAUGCGUAGGGGUUCUGAGAGGAAGGUCCCCCACAUUGGAACUGAGACACGGUCCAAACUCCUACGGGAGGCAGCAG